GUUUUCAAGCUCGGUUGGCUCACAGAGGCCCGAAAGCCCCGGGCUGGUUAAAAAUAACAAACAAAAAUGUCUACAUCCUUCUUCAACAACACCUUCUUCAAACACAGCACGUUUAAAGCCAAACAUUCCGUGAAGGUGUAAGGGAAAACACAACAAGAGCGCCGGUGGAAACAAGUCCAAUGAAGACACUACUUACCCAGAAAUGUUCUAUAAAGUACGGCGUUAUCAUCUUGUUGACGCCAACUCUUUGGCAGUUUGCUGCGUGGAAAGUUGACGAGGGAAAUUCAUCCAGCGGCGACCUCCCUUCGUGUUCUGCCCCCGGUAAGCCUUCUUUCUCUCUCUCUCUCUCGCUCACUCUCCCCCUUUCUUCUUCGCCUUCCUCCGCCCCGCCGACGGUGACGACAAACUCCACCUCCCUCCGCCCCGGCCGUGUCUCCGCCGGGGUUUAUUCCCGGCGAGAAGCAAGCCGCUUGUGCGGGGAGAAACAGCGCUGCCAAUGGCGGACGGCCAGGAAGGCAAGGCGGGUUGCCUGACGCCGAAUGACGAGUUUCACAAAUUCCUCAUUAAACUCACCAAGACGUCACCGUGGAGUUAUUGAGUCUGGCCCAUGAAGAUGACUUCUGUUUUGUUUGAUUGACCGUUUUACUGCCGUGUUACAGACAAUUAAGAUGACCAGAAAACAAAUAGUUUUGGACAGCCAGGUAAAUGCCUACAAGU